rnacentral:rRNA from 1 species
CGAAUGCUGACAUAAGUAACGAUAAAGCGGGUGAAAAGCCCGCUCGCCGGAAGACCAAGGGUUCCUGUCCAACGUUAAUCGGGGCAGGGUGAGUCGACCCCUAAGGCGAGGCCGAAAGGCGUAGUCGAUGGGAAACAGGUUAAUAUUCCUGUACUUGGUGUUACUGCGAAGGGGGGACGGAGAAGGCUAUGUUGGCCGGGCGACGGUUGUCCCGGUUUAAGCGUGUAGGCUGGUUUUCCAGGCAAAUCCGGAAAAUCAAGGCUGAGGCGUGAUGACGAGGCACUACGGUGCUGAAGCAACAAAUGCCCUGCUUCCAGGAAAAGCCUCUAAGCAUCAGGUAACAUCAAAUCGUACCCCAAACCGACACAGGUGGUCAGGUAGAGAAUACCAAGGCGCUUGAGAGAACUCGGGUGAAGGAACUAGGCAAAAUGGUGCCGUAACUUCGGGAGAAGGCACGCUGAUAUGUAGGUGAAGUCCCUCGCGGAUGGAGCUGAAAUCAGUCGAAGAUACCAGCUGGCUGCAACUGUUUAUUAAAAACACAGCACUGUGCAAACACGAAAGUGGACGUAUACGGUGUGACGCCUGCCCGGUGCCGGAAGGUUAAUUGAUGGGGUCAGCGCAAGCGAAGCUCUUGAUCGAAGCCCCGGUAAACGGCGGCCGUAACUAUAACGGUCCUAAGGUAGCGAAAUUCCUUGUCGGGUAAGUUCCGACCUGCACGAAUGGCGUAAUGAUGGCCAGGCUGUCUCCACCCGAGACUCAGUGAAAUUGAACUCGCUGUGAAGAUGCAGUGUACCCGCGGCAAGACGGAAAGACCCCGUGAACCUUUACUAUAGCUUGACACUGAACAUUGAGCCUUGAUGUGUAGGAUAGGUGGGAGGCUUUGAAGUGUGGACGCCAGUCUGCAUGGAGCCGACCUUGAAAUACCACCCUUUAAUGUUUGAUGUUCUAACGUGGACCCGUGAUCCGGGUUGCGGACAGUGUCUGGUGGGUAGUUUGACUGGGGCGGUCUCCUCCUAAAGAGUAACGGAGGAGCACGAAGGUUGGCUAAUCCUGGUCGGACAUCAGGAGGUUAGUGCAAUGGCAUAAGCCAGCUUGACUGCGAGCGUGACGGCGCGAGCAGGUGCGAAAGCAGGUCAUAGUGAUCCGGUGGUUCUGAAUGGAAGGGCCAUCGCUCAACGGAUAAAAGGUACUCCGGGGAUAACAGGCUGAUACCGCCCAAGAGUUCAUAUCGACGGCGGUGUUUGGCACCUCGAUGUCGGCUCAUCACAUCCUGGGGCUGAAGUAGGUCCCAAGGGUAUGGCUGUUCGCCAUUUAAAGUGGUACGCGAGCUGGGUUUAGAACGUCGUGAGACAGUUCGGUCCCUAUCUGCCGUGGGCG